GAUGAACGCUGACAGAAUGCUUAACACAUGCAAGUCGACUCGAGUCUUCGGACUUGGGUGGCGCACGGGUGAGUAGCGCGUAAAGAACUUGCCUCUUAGACCGGGACAACAUUUGGAAACGGAUGCUAAUACCGGAUAUUAUGGUUUCUUCGCAUGGGGGAAUCAUGAAAGCUACAUGCGCUAAGAGAGAGCUUUGCGUCCCAUUAGCCCGUUGGUGAGGUAACGGCCCACCAAGGCGACGAUGGGUAACCGGCCUGAGAGGGUGAACGGUCACAUUGGAACUGAGACACGGUCCAA
rnacentral:rRNA from 1 species